rnacentral:lncRNA from 1 species
AUUCUAAUGACAAUGUCAAUUAAUUUAAUGAAUGCAUCGUGGGUGCGCAGGCUUUAGCCUUCGUCCUCUUUAGAGUAUGCUAAAGUGACUGUCAACUU